GAUGAACGCUGGCGGCGUGCCUAACACAUGCAAGUCGAACGAUGACGAAGAGACACGCGUACCUCGCUUCAAACUUCACUCCGGAUUAGUUGCAGACGGUUGAGUACAGCGUGUGCAUCCUACCUCUUACAAAGAGAUAUCCUCGGGAAACCGUGAUUAACACCAUUUGACACAUUCAUAAGUCAUCUCAAGAAUGUUAAAGCUACGGCGGUAAGAGAUGGGGUAGCGUCCCAUUAGCUAGAUGGUAAGGUAACGGCCCACCAAGGAGACGAUGGGUAACCGGCCUGUGAGGGUGAACCGUCACAUUGGAGCUGAGACACGGUCCGAACUCCUACGGGAGGCAGCAGUGGGGAAUAUUGCACAAUGGAGGGAACUCAGAUGCAGCGACGCCGCGUGAGCGAUGAAGGAAUUCGUUUCGUAAAGCUCUGUUCUAUGGGAAGAAAAGGACUGUACCAUAGGAGAAAGCCCCGGCUAAAUACGUG
rnacentral:rRNA from 1 species